CAUGGACCGUUGCUAUUUGGGGGGUUAUCUGGCGUAAUGUGGUUCGGGGGUUUGCCUGGACCUAUGCUAAUUGGGGGUUGACCUGGCGCAAUGUGGUUCGGGGGUUUGCAUGGACCGUUGCUAUUUGGGGGGUUACCUGGCAUAAUUUGUUUCGGGGGGUUUGCCUGGACCGAUGCUAAUUGGGGGGUGACCCGGCAUAAUGCAGUUCGGGGGUUUGCAUGGACCGAUUUUAUUUUGGCGGUUGCCUGGCGUGAAGCUUUGCGGGGGUCUCCACUUCCGCAGGCUUUCUGUUUGAAAGCUGCACGAGUGCGCGGCCUCAGGUCUAACGAGGCUGCGACGUACAUGAGGCGCCUUAGCACAGUAUCGUGCACGGUAAGUCUGGGCCGCAAGCUUGGGGGGUAAACUGCCGUUCGCGCUCAAAUGCAACCGUAAGUCGUUGGAAUUGGCAUAUUUAACCGUUUCAUCUGUACAUAUGCAGGGUCUCCACUUCCGCAGGCUUUCUGUUUGAAAGUUGCACGAGUGCGCGGCCUCAGGUCUAACGAGGCUGCGACGUACGUGAGGCGCCUUAGCACGGUAUCGUGCACGGUAAGUCUGGGCCGCAAGCUUGGGGGGUAAACUGCCGUUCGCGCUCAAAUGCAACCGUAAGUCGUUGGAAUUGGCAUAUUUAACCGUUUCAUCUGUUCUUAUGCAGGGUCUCCACUUCCGCAGGCUUUCUGUUUGAAAGCUGCACGAGUGCGCGGCCUCAGGUCUAACGAGGCUGCGACGUACGUGAGGCGCCUUAGCACGGUAUCGUGCACGGUAAGUCUGGGCCGCAAGCUUGGGGGGUAAACUGCCGUUCGCGCUCAAAUGCAACCGUAAGUCGUUGGAAUUGGCAUAUUUAACCGUUUCAUCUGUUCUUAUGCAGGGUCUCCACUUCCGCAGGCUUUCUGUUUGAAAGCUGCACGAGUGCGCGGCCUCAGGUCUAACGAGGCUGCGACGUACAUGAGGCGCCUUAGCACAGUAUCGUGCACGGUAAGUNNN
rnacentral:lncRNA from 1 species